rnacentral:misc_RNA from 1 species
CUCUCUCUCUCUCUCUCUCUUGCUAGCUUUUUCCUUCAAUUUCUCCCUGCUUAUGUGUGUGCAUGCAUUCUUAUCCGUUAGGAAAGCAUUGGUUAUAUUAAAUAAAGAUGCAUGUAUUAUAGAUGGCUAAAUAGGGUAUAAAUGAUAGACUGCAUAUCAGCUGUGGUACUCAGCAUGUGUGGUUGCUGUAAUUGCAUAAAAGUCAAAUGAAGAAAUAAAUACUAGUUUAUAAUUUGCAAAAUUAUUCUAGUUUUUAUUGUUAACAUAUAUUAUGAAGGUGUAUUUUGCUGUAGCAAAUAGAUAUUUUGUUGUUUCAAACUCUAUAAUUCUUCAUUAAUUGGCAAUUGGCUUAUACUUUAAGGAGUUUCGCUUCUAAAGAACUCAAG